CCCGCCGGCGACCGGCGCACGGGUGAGUAACACGUAUGAAACCUGCCCGUAGCAGGGGGAUAAGCGGAAGAAAUUCCGUCUAAUACCGCAUAACACCUUUAGGAGACAUCUUCUUGGGGUCAAAGGAGGCGACUCCGGCAUAGGAUGGCCCUGCGUCGCAUUAGCUAGUCGGCGGGGUAACGGCCCACCGAGGCGACGAUGCGUAGGGGUUCUGAGAGGAAGGUCCCCCACACUGGUACUGAGACACGGACCAGACUCCUACGGGAGGCAGCAG
rnacentral:rRNA from 1 species